CGUACACACGUGCUACAAUGGGUGGGUACAAAGAGAUGCAAUCUCGCAAGAGCAAGCAAACCUCAAAAAGCCAUCCUCAGUUCGGAUUGGAGUCUGCAACUCGACUCCAUGAAGUCGGAAUCGCUAGUAAUCGCGGAUCAGCACGCCGCGGUGAAUACGUUCCCGGGCCUU
rnacentral:rRNA from 1 species